ACUGCAGGCACAAGCCGGGACGCCGCGGGUUUAAACGUGCGCGUGAGGUGACCAGGGCGCGUGCGCGAGGGUGUGGGGGGAAUGGGAGGGGCAGCAGCCGUCUUCCGGGGGGGAGGGGCGGCGAGGCGAGGCCUGCGGAGCGGAGGAAGACAAACAUAAAGAUGAAGUGCUUAAUUCAAGGUCACACAAUGUCGGGGAUGGACCUCCAGAUUUCCUUACUGACCUGCAUUAUCUUGUGGAUACCUGAGUGAAUUCCACACCACCCAUUUUAUAGAUGAAACCACUGAGACAUGGAGCAACUGACUGAGUAGUCACUGCCCCACCCCUGCCUGGAGCCUCACACAUGACUCGUCUCCUCUCAGUGACCACAGUACUUAUCCUGUAUUACAUGAAGGAAAUGAAAUAAAAAGACUGCAACCC
rnacentral:lncRNA from 1 species